rnacentral:rRNA from 1 species
AUACGUAGGGGGCAAGCGUUAUCCGGAUUUACUGGGCGUAAAGGGAGCGUAGACGGAAGGCCAAGUCUGUUGUGAAAGCCCGCGGCUCAACUGCGGGACUGCAUUGGAAACUGGUCAUCUGGAGUGCAGGAGGGGAAAGCGGAAUUCCUAGUGUAGCGGUGAAAUGCGUAGAGAUUGGGAGGAACACCAGUGGCGAAGGCGACUUACUGGACUGUAACUGACGCUGAGGCGCGAAAGUGUGGGGAGCAAACAGGAUUAGAUACCCUGGUAGUCCACACUGUAAACGAUGAAUGCUAGGUGUAGGGGGUAUCGACCCCUUCUGUGCCGCAGUCAACACAAUAAGCAUUCCGCCUGGGGAGUACGGCGCAAGGUUGAAACUCAAAGGAAUUGACGGG